rnacentral:rRNA from 1 species
AACGAACGCUGGCGGCAGGCCUAACACAUGCAAGUCGAACGCCCGUAGCAAUACGGGAGUGGCAGACGGGUGAGUAACGCGUGGGAAUCUCCCCAAAGGUACGGAACAACUCAGGGAAACUUGAGCUAAUACCGUAUGUGCCCGAGAGGGCAAAGAUUUAUCGCCUUUGGAUGAGCCCGCGUUGGAUUAGCUAGUUGGUGGGGUAACGGCCUACCAAGGCGACGAUCCAUAGCUGAUCUGAGAGGAUGAUCAGCCACACUGGGACUGAGACACGGCCCAGACUCCUACGGGAGGCAGCAGUGGGGAAUCUUGGACAAUGGGCGAAAGCCUGAUCCAGCCAUGCCGCGUGAGUGAAGAAGGCCUUAGGGUUGUAAAGCUCUUUUGCCCGGGAAGAUAAUGACGGUACCGGGAGAAUAAGCCCCGGCAAACUUCGUGCCAGCAGCCGCGGUAAUACGAAGGGGGCUAGCGUUGUUCGGAUUUACUGGGCGUAAAGCGCACGUAGGCGGAUUGGUU